rnacentral:rRNA from 1 species
GACGAACGCUGGCGGCGUGCCUAAUACAUGCAAGUCGAGCGAAGUUUUUCUGGUGCUUGCUCUAGAAAAACUUAGCGGCGAACGGGUGAGUAACACGUAAAGAACCUGCCUCAUAGACUGGGACAACUAUUGGAAACGAUAGCUAAUACCGGAUAACAGCAUUAACUGCAUGGUUGAUGUUUAAAAGUUGGUUUUGCUAACACUAUGAGAUGGCUUUGCGGUGCAUUAGCUAGUUGGUGGGGUAAAGGCCUACCAAGGCGACGAUGCAUAGCCGACCUGAGAGGGUGAUCGGCCACACUGGGACUGAGACACGGCCCAGACUCCUACGGGAGGCAGCAGUAGGGAAUCUUCCGCAAUGGGCGAAAGCCUGACGGAGCAACGCCGCGUGAGUGAAGAAGGAUUUCGGUUCGUAAAGCUCUGUUGUUAGGGAAGAAUGAUUGUGUAGUAACUAUACACAGUAGAGACGGUACCUAACCAGAAAGCCACGGCUAACUACGUG